rnacentral:lncRNA from 1 species
AGGUCCUGGGUGGGCCGGCGGGGCCCUUCCGUGCUGGGUUGCCGUGGAGACAGCAACAUCAUACAGGCUGGACCGCAGGACCCCCGCCACCCUUAACUCCUGGGUGAUCACUCUGGGAACAAAAUGGACAUCCCAUCCAAGAAGAAAUGCGGCAUUGAGUUAAGCCCUGGUCUGAACCUGAGGGCAGCCUGGAGGUCAAGGCAGAGGUCAUCUGUUCUGAAUCCUGACGCACCCACCAUGCCUGGAGUGGGGGCCUGGAAGAUUUUCUCUUUGCUCUUUGACGGUGUGGAGGGUGGGGACAGGUCUGGAGAGUACAUUUGCUAACCCCUCUUUGUGGAAAGACCAUUCUGCAUCUGCUGGGACCCCAGUCUCCCCCGCGUCUCUCCGGAGCUUGCUCCCCAGACUACCUUCUGGACCCCA